rnacentral:rRNA from 1 species
AGGUGCGAUCAUACCAGUACUAAUGCACCGGAUCCCAUCGGAACUCAAAAGUUAAGUGUGCUUGGGUGAGGAUAGUACUAAGACAGGCUUUGUCGCGGGACUUCCACAGCCACAGGCA